CUCUUCCUUCAUUUUCUAAUAUUAUUAGAUUAUUCUAUAAAGUAUUGCUGCAGAAAUCCUUUGUAGAAAUUGAGUUUUUGUUAUACAUUACUCAGUGCAUAGUGGACUAUUCUCGUCAGUGCAAAACGCAAAUAGUCAUUGGCUUCAUUGUAUCCUCGAGGUUAAUUUGCUUGGAACUCAUUUGCACACUGAAGAUAAGUGGGGGCGAAUAUAACCUUAAAGAUAGUGGCUUGGUACACGCCUUGGAGCCUGUCCUAUUUCUUCUUUUUCUUUUCGAGUUCCGAUCGUGUGUUCGAGUUUUUUUUUCUUACCGGAGUUUUGUACUAACAAUUUUAAGGUUAUAUUUCAUGAUGACUACCACAACACAUGAAAGUGGAACACUAAGGGAGUUGGCUUCCAACUUUGUUAAACUUGAUCGUUUUGAUGGUGGCAAUUUUCGACGAUGGCAGAAAAAGAUGCACUUUUUGUUAUCAACUUUGAAGAUUGCUUAUGUUUUGGAUACUCCAAGACCUGAAGAGAAUGAAAACGAAUCUAUUGCUGCAACCCGAGAAAGACAAAAAUGGGACAAUGCUGAUUACAUGUGCAUGGGCCACAUAUUGAAUGGUUUAUCUGAUGGUUUGUUCGACACCUACCAAAACGACGUCACCGCUAAAGAAUUAUGGGACAAAUUGGAGGCAAGAUACAUGACCGAAGAUGUUACAAGUAAGAAAUUUCUUGUCAGUCGUUUCAAUAAUUAUCAAAUGGUUGAUGGUCGUUCUGUUAUGGAACAAUUUCGUGAUAUUGAAAAGAUGUUGAAUCAAUUUAAGCAAUAUGAUAUGAAAAUGGAUGAAAUGAUUAUGGUAUCCUCCAUAAUAGACAAACUUCCUCCAUCUUGGAAAGACUUUAAAAGAAGUCUAAAACAUAAGAAAAAGGAAAUAUCUCUUGAGGCUUUGGCAAAUCAUCUUCGUAUUAAAGAAGAGUAUCGAAAACAAGAUCAGAACCUAAAUUCUGAAAAUGCCAAAGUACAUGUUACGGAGGAAGUACAGACUACUAAACCAUUCAAGAGAAAGUUUAAUCAGACUGAUAGAGCACCUAAGUUCAAAAAGAAACAAAAGGGCUCAUGCUAUCAUUGUGGAAAGCCGGGACAUUUCAAGAAUGAAUGUCGAUUUUUAAAGAAGAAAUCAUCUUCUAAGGCUGAUAAUAACGAAAAGUUCGUUGCAAUGAUAUCUGAAAUUAAUAUGGCACAAGAUGAUAAUACAUGGUGGAUUGAUACCGGAGCAACCAAACAUGUGUGCAAAGACAAAAGCAUGUUCACAAAGUUCACACAAUGUGAAAAUGACAAUGUCUUGUACAUGGGAAAUUCUUCCACCGCAACAAUUAAAGGCAAAGGGUCUGUUGAACUACAAUUCACUUCUGGAAAGGUUUUAACCUUAAAUGAUGUAUAUUAUGUACCAGAAGUUAGGAAAAAUUUAGUGUCUGGAAGUCUGUUGAAUAAGUUUGGUUUCAAACUUGUUUUUGAGGCAGAUAAGUUUAUUUUGUCUAAGGGAGGAAUUUUUGUGGGAAAAGGGUAUAUGUAUGAAAGCAUGUUCAAACUUAAUAUUAUUAAUAAGAAUAAAAAUACUAUUUCUGCUUAUAUGGUUGAAUCAUUUUGUUUGUGGCAUUAUAAAUUAGGUCUUUUGAAUUAUAGAAAAUUGAAUGACAUGUAUAAAUUAGAUUUAAUUCCUGUUUUUAAUAAUAAUAUUGAAAAAUGCAAUACAUGUAUGUUGACUAAAAUUACAAGAAAUCCUUUCCCUAAGGUUAAAAGGAAAACAAAAUUGCUUGAUUUGAUACAUAGUGAUUUAUGUGACUUGCAUAAUACUCCUACAUUAGGUGGAAAGAAAUAUUUUGUUACUUUUAUUGAUGAUUGUUCUAGAUAUUGUUAUGUAUAUUUAUUGCAUUCAAAAGAUGAAGCGCUUGAUAAAUUUAAAGUUUAUAAAUCUGAAGUUGAACUUCAGUGUGAAUCAUUUAUCAAGUGCUUAAGAUCGGAUAGAGGUGGAGAAUACUAUAAUCCAAGUUAUUUUGAACUCACUAGAAUUGUCCAUCAAGUUUCAGCCCCUUACACACCACAACAAAAUGGUGUAGCUGAAAGGAAAAAUAGAGUCUUGAUUGAAAUGGUAAAUUCAAUGUUAUCAUAUUCAGGUCUUGGACAGGGUUUUUGGGGAGAAGCUGUUCUAACAGCUUGUCAUAUAUUGAAUAGAGUUCCUAAUAAGGAAACUAAAAUAACCCCCUAUGAACAAUGGAAGAAAAGGAAACCAAACCUUAAUUAUUUAAAGGUUUAGGGUUGUAGAGCUAUUGUAAAAGUUCCAACACCUAAACGUAAAAAGUUAGGUGAAAGAGGAAUUGAAUGCAUAUUUAUAGGUUAUGCACAUAAUAGCAAGGCAUAUAGGUUCAUAGUAAUUGAACCAAAUGAUUCAAUUUCAAUUAAUACGGUUAUUGAAUCAAGAGAUGCUAUUUUUGAUAAAAAUAGAUUUAAUUCUAUAUCAAGACAAUUACAACCACAACAAUUGAUUCAUUCUUCAAAUGAGAAUGAGAUUCCAUUGAAACAAAUUGAUAAUAAUGAUGAAUCUUGUCAAGAAUUAAGAAGAAGUAAGAGGAUUAAAAAGGUCAAAGAUUUUGGACCAGAUUUCAUUAUGUUUCUUGUAGAAGGAAAAGGUGAAAGUAUAUGCAAUAAGAUACCUUAUUGUUAUAAUACCGAAUCUGAUCCUAUUACAUUUGAAGAAGCAGUGAAAUCUCAAGACUCUGCUUUUUGGAAAGAAGCAAUAAAUGAUGAAAUGGAUUCAAUAAUGGGAAAUCAAACUUGGAUCUUAGUUGAUCUUCCACCAGGUUCCAAACCAAUAGGUUGUAAAUGGAUCUUCAAAAAGAAAAUGAAGGUCCAUGGAACCAUUGAUAAAUUUAAAGCAAGGUUGGUAGCAAAAGGUUUUACACAAAGACAAGGUAUUGAUUACUUUGAUACCUAUGCUCCAGUAGCAAGAAUUGCUACAAUUAGACUAUUAAUAUCACUUACCUCUAUAUAUAAUUUGGUUGUUCACCAAAUGGAUGUUAAAACUGCAUUUUUAAAUGGUGAAUUGGAAGAGGAAGUGUACAUGGAGCAACCGGAAGGAUUUGUUGUUCCAGGACAAGAGCAUAAGGUAUGUAAGCUUGUUAAAUCUUUAUAUGGGCUUAAACAAGCACCAAAACAAUGGCACCAAAAGUUUGACAAGGUUGUUUUAGCUAAUGGCUAUAAAAUAAAUGAAUCCGAUAAGUGCAUAUAUAGUAAAUUUGAUAAUGGAAAGGGUGUUAUAAUUUGCUUAUAUGUAGAUGACAUGCUCAUUUUUGGCACGGAUUUGGAACAAAUAGAAAACACAAAGAAAUUCUUGUCAAACAACUUUGCUAUGAAGGAUAUGGGUGUAGCAGAUGUUAUUCUUGGGAUUAAAAUAACCCGAGAUGAAAGCACUAUAGCUUUAUCACAAUCACAUUACAUUGAAAAUGUGCUUAAAAAGUUUGAUCUUUUCAACUGUAUACCAGCAUCUACACCCAUGGAUCCUCAAUUAAAAUUAGUAUCUAAUGCUGGUAGGAAAAUUGAUCAAUUGAAAUAUGCAAGUCUAAUUGGUUGUCUUAUGUACAUAAUGACUUGUACAAGACCAGAUAUUGCAUAUGCUAUUGGAAAAUUGAGUAGAUACACAAGUAAUCCAAGUAGUUUGCAUUGGCAAGCUUUAAAUAGAGUACUUAGGUACUUAAAGAAAACUAUUAACUGUGGAUUGUGUUAUAAUGGAUAUCCUCCAGUUUUAGAAGGGUAUUCGGAUGCUAGUUGGAUUACAAGUUUGGAAGAUCAUGCAUCUACUAGUGGGUGGAUCUUCAUUCUUGGUGGAUGAGUCAUUUCUUGGGGUUCCAAGAAACAAACAUGUAUUACUGAUUCCACCAUGGCAGCAGAAUUUAUUGCAUUAGCCGCUGCAUCUAAAGAAGCAGAAUGGUUAAGAAAUUUGCUUUAUGAUGUACCUUUAUGGCUUAAGCCAAUUUCACCUAUUUCUAUCCGUUGUGAUAGUGAGGCUACUCUAGCAAAGGCAUAUAGCCAAGUAUAUAAUGGAAAGUCUAGACACAUUGGAUUAAGACAUAGUUAUGUCCGACAAUUAAUCUCUGAUGGAGUGAUCACUAUUAAUUAUGUGAGGUCAAGUGAAAAUUUGGCAGAUCCUUUGACAAAAAGUCUUGCUAGAGAUGCAGUAAAAAGGACCUCAAAAGGGAUGGGACUCAAGCCUAUUAAUUAGAGUCACCCAUGAUGGAAACUCGACUCAACGCUUGGUAUAACGUCAAGUCUUGAGUUCAAUGAGACAAAAUACAUCAUUAGUAUGUGACUGUUAGCACUAUAAAUAAAUCCAUCCUAAGAUUAAAGUGCUAGGUACUCGUAAUGAUAAGGGAAGGAUGAGUAAUGUACUCUUAAUGGACCCAUAACAUAAAUAUGUUAGAGUGUUAUAAUUACGGGAACACUUUUGAUGGGAUCUACCUAUGUGAGUGGAAGUGUGGCCGCUUCUAGGAGCUUAAGGGCUUGGCUCUGACAGCACUCAUGAAAAGAAGACAUAGACACAUGGCUAUAAUAGUGUCCCUAGAUACUAUGCAUUGACUGAUGUUGAAAUCAUUGUGUGAGAUGUGUUCAGUUAAUCAAAUGGAAUAGUUGGUUCAAAGCUUAGUCUACCAUACAAUUUCGAUUAACUUUAACAUGUUUUCACUAAGUGAAGGUUCAAUCGUAAGACACCUUUAUUUAUGCAAAUUGAUUUCCACGAAUAUCAAAAUCUAAAUAUUUUGAAAAUGGGGGGAGAUUGUUGGAAUAUUUUCAAAUAUUUAUAGUAUCCCAAUAACUAUAAAUGAAUAGGUGUAAUUAAUUAAAAGAUAAAACUUUUGGUCAUUGGUCAAAAGUUAUAUCAUUUGAUUUUUUUAAAAAAGAAUUAUAACUAUUCAAAAAAUAUUAUUUGAAUAGUUACAAAAUUAAAUGAAUAAUUAUUAUUUAUUUAUUCAUAAAGACACCUAUUGAAAGAUGUCUCUAUGAAGAGAUAUGAAAAUUCCUAUAAAUAGGAAUGAGAUUUCAUUUGGAAAUCAUAUCAACAAAUUCUAAUAUUAUUUCUUCUCUUCCUUCAUUUUCUAAUAUUAUUAGAUUAUUCUAUAAAGUAUUGCUGCAGAAAUCCUUUGUAGAAAUUGAGUUUUUGUUAUACAUUACUCAAUGCAUAGUGGACUAUUCUCGUCAGUGCAAAACGCAAAUAGUCAUUGGCUUCAUUGUAUCCUCGAGGUUAAUUUGCUUGGAACUCGUUUGCACACUGAAGAUAAGUGGGGGCG
rnacentral:lncRNA from 1 species